UAAAGGGCUAAAUGGACUCUAUUUUUUGCAGCUUCCUGUGAAUCUACAGUCUUUUCAAAAUAAGGCUUACGUUGGAGAUGUUGUGGGUUCAGUUCCAUGCCACUACAAUAAAGCAAAUGCUGCAAUAAGUUCUUUGAGUAUAUAUGUGGGAGUGGAAUUGCUGGAUCAUGUGAUAACUGACUCGAUGGACAUGAGUUUGAGCAAGCUCUGGGAGUUGGUGAUGGACAUGGAAGCCUGGUGUGUUGCAGUCCAUGGGGUCGCAAAGAGUCAGA